AUUCAAAUUUUAAAAAUCCAUUACGGUGAUCUAUUCAAUGAUGACUCGUCAUUACCGGGUUGCACUCGGAAUCUAUACAUUAUAAUAUAUAGAUACAUAAAAUCAUUUGCCCGGAUAUUAUUAUUUGAUAUGAUUUUAUUUUUUGAUAUUUUUAAGUGAAAAAUCUACAUUUUUUUUAAUAUUCAUUCUCAUAUACCUGAUAAUUACCAGAUGAAUACUUCAUAACUGUGACACGUCAUCAAAAAAGUAAGUAUUGAAAUAUUAUUUUAUAUGCCGUACUAAUAAAAAUCUUUCGAACAAUUAAUAACUAUUUGAUGGUUAAACAUGUAGAUUCAAUUAGCUUAAAUAAAUAUUGUUUAAACUGUGUAGUCUUAUAGUCAUUGAAUACAUGCAUUAAUAUAUUAUUGAUUAUACAUUUUAACGACCGGUUGUCUCGCAUACGAUUUCAUGACUGUAAUAUUAUAAUUCAAACAUACAGCCAUACAGGUAAAGUCCAAAGUUCACCAAGCUGAAAAAUGUACAGAAGCCAACAUUCCAAUGGAAUCACAAUAAGCAUACAUGCAAUGCUACUUAAAACUCAUGAAAUCCAUCUCCAAAUGAACUCAAUUGAUGAAAUCCAAUGAUUUGAAUAAUAUGAAUCAAUGAAAAUAUGAAUCAUAAUCUGCAUACCAUUUUGAUGAUGUUGCCCGCAUUCAACCCGCUCCACCACGACAUGAUGGAUUAGAAAUUGCGCCGCGUUUCGUUGUAGCCAACAUCUCAAAGAGCCCGUCAAAUAGUGGUCAUACUAUACAAAAUUCCAAACUUUUACUUGACUACUUUGACUUUUACUCUAACGGAUAUGACCAAUCAUUUUCCUACAAUGCAUCUUAUUAAAGAAAAUAAUAACUCCAAUAUAAAUAUAGAAUUUGAUAAAGCUGA